rnacentral:rRNA from 1 species
CCUACGGGAGGCAGCAGUGGGGGAAUUUUGGACAAUGGGCGCAAGCCUGAUCCAGCAAUGCCGCGUGCAGGAUGAAGGCCUUCGGGUUGUAAACUGCUUUUGUAUGGAACGAAACGGUGAGCUCUAAUACAGUUUGCUAAUGACGGUACCGUAAGAAUAAGCACCGGCUAACUACGUGCCAGCAGCCGCGGUAAUACGUAGGGUGCGAGCGUUAAUCGGAAUUACUGGGCGUAAAGCGUGCGCAGGCGGUGAUGUAAGACAGAUGUGAAAUGCCCGGGCGUCAACCUGGGACCUGCAUUUGUGACUGCAUCGCUAGAGUACGGUAGAGGGGGAUGGAAUUCCGCGUGUAGCAGUGAAAUGCGUAGAUAUGCGGAGGAACACCGAUGGCGAAGGCAAUCCCCUGGACCUGUACUGACGCUCAUGCACGAAAGCGUGGGGAGCAAACAGGAUUAGAUACCCUGGUAGUCCACGCCCUAAACGAUGUCAACUGGUUGUUGGGUCUUCACUGACUCAGUAACGAAGCUAACGCGUGAAGUUGACGCCUGGGGAGUUACGGCGCAGGUUGAACUUCAAGGAAUUGACGGNGNGAGAGNGCGAGGACGACGACGAGGAGAG